rnacentral:rRNA from 1 species
UACGGAGGAUGCGAGCGUUAUCCGGAUUUAUUGGGUUUAAAGGGUGCGUAGGUUGUUUUUUAAGUCAGCGGUGAAAGUUUGUGGCUCAACCAUAAAAUUGCCGUUGAAACUGGGGGGCUUGAGUAUGUUUGAGGCAGGCGGAAUGCGUAGUGUAGCGGUGAAAUGCUUAGAUAUCACGAAGAACUCCGAUUGCGAAGGCAGCCUGCUGGACUGUAACUGACGCUGAUGCUCGAAAGUGUGGGUAGCGAACAGG